rnacentral:rRNA from 1 species
GGUUAAGUGACUAAGCGUACACGGUGGAUGCCUUGGCAGUCAGAGGCGAUGAAGGACGUAUUAACUUGCGAUAAGCCCAGAUUAGGUAGUAAAAACCACUUGAGUCUGGGAUUUCCGAAUGGGGAAACCCACUUACAUAAGUAAGUAUCGCUGCGUGAAUACAUAGCGCAGCGAGGCGAACCGGGGGAACUGAAACAUCUAAGUACCCCGAGGAAAAGAAAUCAACCGAGAUUCCGAAAGUAGCGGCGAGCGAAAUUGGACUAGCCCUUAAGCUUUUUAUGCGUCAGGUGAAACUUCUGGAAAGUUGUGCGAUACAGGGUGAUAGCCCCGUAACCGGCAACGCAUAUAAAGUGAAAUCGAGUAGGGCGGGACACGUGAUAUCCUGUCUGAAUAUGGGGGGACCAUCCUCCAAGGCUAAAUACUACUGACUGACCGAUAGUGAACCAGUACCGUGAGGGAAAGGCGAAAAGAACCCCUGUGAGGGGAGUGAAAUAGAACCUGAAACCGUGUACGUACAAGCAGUAGGAGCACCUUCGUGGUGUGACUGCGUACCUUUUGUAUAAUGGGUCAGCGACUUAUAUUCAGUGGCAAGGUUAACCAUCUAGGGGAGCCGUAGGGAAACCGAGUCUUAACUGGGCGUUCAGUCUCUGGAUAUAGACCCGAAACCAGGUGAUCUAGCCAUGGGCAGGUUGAAGGUUGAGUAACAUCAACUGGAGGACCGAACCGACUAAUGUUGAAAAAUUAGCGGAUGACUUGUGGCUAGGGGUGAAAGGCCAAUCAAACCUGGAGAUAGCUGGUUCUCCCCGAAAGCUAUUUAGGUAGCGCCUCGGACGAAUACUACUGGGGGUAGAGCACUGUUAAGGCUAGGGGGUCAUCCCGACUUACCAACCCUUUGCAAACUCCGAAUACCAGUAAGUACUAUCCGGGAGACACACGGCGGGUGCUAACGUCCGUCGUGGAGAGGGAAACAACCCAGACCGCCAGCUAAGGUCCCAAAUUACUACUAAGUGGGAAACGAUGUGGGAAGGCUCAGACAGCCAGGAUGUUGGCUUAGAAGCAGCCAUCAUUUAAAGAAAGCGUAAUAGCUCACUGGUCGAGUCGGCCUGCGCGGAAGAUGUAACGGGGCUAAGUAGUAAACCGAAGCUGCGGCAAUGCACUUUAGUGCAUUGGGUAGGGGAGCGUUCUGUAAGCGGUUGAAGGUGUGUGGUAACGCAUGCUGGACGUAUCAGAAGUGCGAAUGCUGACAUGAGUAACGAUAAAGGGGGUGAAAAACCUCCUCGCCGGAAGACCAAGGGUUCCUGUCCAACGUUAAUCGGGGCAGGGUAAGUCGACCCCUAAGGCGAGGCCGAAAGGCGUAGUCGAUGGGAAACGGGUUAAUAUUCCCGUACUUCUUACAAUUGCGAUGGGGGGACGGAGAAGGCUAGGUGGGCCUGGCGACGGUUGUCCAGGUUCAAGUGCGUAGGCUUAAGAGUUAGGUAAAUCCGGCUCUUUCUAAGGCUGAGACACGACGUCGAGCUACUACGGUAGUGAAGUCAUUGAUGCCAUGCUUCCAGGAAAAGCCUCUAAGCUUCAGAUUGUAAGGAAUCGUACCCCAAACCGACACAGGUGGUCGGGUAGAGAAUACCAAGGCGCUUGAGAGAACUCGGGUGAAGGAACUAGGCAAAAUGGUACCGUAACUUCGGGAGAAGGUACGCUCUCGACGGUGAAGUCCCUUGCGGAUGGAGCUAUUGAGAGUCGCAGAUACCAGGUGGCUGCAACUGUUUAUUAAAAACACAGCACUGUGCAAAAUCGUAAGAUGACGUAUACGGUGUGACGCCUGCCCGGUGCCGGAAGGUUAAUUGAUGGGGUUAGACUUCGGUCGAAGCUCUUGAUCGAAGCCCCGGUAAACGGCGGCCGUAACUAUAACGGUCCUAAGGUAGCGAAAUUCCUUGUCGGGUAAGUUCCGACCUGCACGAAUGGCGUAAUGAUGGCCACGCUGUCUCCACCCGAGACUCAGUGAAAUUGAAAUCGCUGUGAAGAUGCAGUGUACCCGCGGCUAGACGGAAAGACCCCGUGAACCUUUACUACAGCUUGGCACUGAACAUUGACCCUACAUGUGUAGGAUAGGUGGGAGGCUUUGAAGCACAGUCGCUAGAUUGUGUGGAGCCGUCCUUGAAAUACCACCCUUGUAGUGUUGAUGUUCUAACGUUGACCCCUAAUCGGGGUUGCGGACAGUGCCUGGUGGGUAGUUUGACUGGGGCGGUCUCCUCCCAAAGCGUAACGGAGGAGCACGAAGGUGGGCUAAUCACGGUUGGACAUCGUGAGGUUAGUGCAAUGGCAUAAGCCCGCUUGACUGCGAGAAUGACGGUUCGAGCAGGUGCGAAAGCAGGUCAUAGUGAUCCGGUGGUUCUGAAUGGAAGGGCCAUCGCUCAACGGAUAAAAGGUACUCCGGGGAUAACAGGCUGAUACCGCCCAAGAGUUCAUAUCGACGGCGGUGUUUGGCACCUCGAUGUCGGCUCAUCACAUCCUGGGGCUGAAGUCGGUCCCAAGGGUAUGGCUGUUCGCCAUUUAAAGUGGUACGCGAGCUGGGUUUAGAACGUCGUGAGACAGUUCGGUCCCUAUCUGCCGUGGGCGUUGGAAGAUUGAAGGGGGCUGCUCCUAGUACGAGAGGACCGGAGUGGACGAACCUCUGGUGUUCGGGUUGUGUCGCCAGACGCAUUGCCCGGUAGCUAAGUUCGGAAUCGAUAACCGCUGAAAGCAUCUAAGCGGGAAGCGAGCCCUGAGAUGAGUCUUCCCUGAUACUUUAAGUAUCCUAAAGGGUUGUUCGAGACUAGAACGUUGAUAGGCAGGGUGUGUAAGCGCUGUGAGGCGUUGAGCUAACCUGUACUAAUUGCCCGUGAGGCUUAACCAU